CACUUUGUGGUUCAUGACUGGGGUGAAGUCGUAACAAGGUAGCGCUAGGGGAACCUGGCGCUGGAUCACCUCCUUAUACGA
rnacentral:rRNA from 1 species